rnacentral:rRNA from 1 species
UACGGAGGGAGCUAGCGUUGUUCGGAAUUACUGGGCGUAAAGCGCACGUAGGCGGCUACUCAAGUCAGAGGUGAAAGCCCAGGGCUCAACCCUGGAACUGCCUUUGAAACUAGGUAGCUAGAAUCUUGGAGAGGUCAGUGGAAUUCCGAGUGUAGAGGUGAAAUUCGUAGAUAUUCGCAAGAACACCAGUGGCGAAGGCGGCUCACUGGCCCGGUACUGACGCUGAGGUGCGAAAGCGUGGGGAGCAAACAGG